UCACCCUUCCUCGUGGAGUGUUUUCGAGGUUUUAGAUAUUUCGGUAGGUUUCACUCGAUUUUGCGAGAACGGAGAAAUAAGCGACGUCCACAGGGCUUUAUUUAAAAACUGCAAUCCUUCGAAUGUGGUCGACUUCGAGCGUAGGACGGCGUACAAGGUGUCUUGGGACGGUGACGCGAACACUCGAGGAGGCUAUUACGACGCCGAGAUCCUCGAACUGACGGGACUACCUGCGGCUCGGCUGUUGAUGCGGGAGGUGCUGUAGGGCCCUACUGCCUAACACUUGCUGACGAGGACAUCCUUGCAAAGAAUGAGAUUGUGGAUCCUAGCAUCGGCCUCCAGAAAAGGAAGUAAUGGUAAAAUAG